GAUGAACGCUGGCGGCGUGCCUAAUACAUGCAAGUCGAGCGAACAGACGAGGAGCUUGCUCCUCUGACGUUAGCGGCGGACGGGUGAGUAACACGUGGAUAACCUACCUAUAAGACUGGGAUAACUUCGGGAAACCGGAGCUAAUACCGGAUAAUAUAUUGAACCGCAUGGUUCAAUAGUGAAAGACGGUUUUGCUGUCACUUAUAGAUGGAUCCGCGCCGCAUUAGCUAGUUGGUAAGGUAACGGCUUACCAAGGCAACGAUGCGUAGCCGACCUGAGAGGGUGAUCGGCCAGACUGGAACUGAGACACGGUCCAGACUCCUACGGGAGGCAGCAGUAGGGAAUCUUCCGCAAUGGGCGAAAGCCUGACGGAGCAACGCCGCGGGAGUGAUGAAGGUCUUCGGAUCGUAAAACUCUGUUAUUAGGGAAGAACAAAUGUGUAAGUAACUAUGCACGUCUUGACGGUACCUAAUCAGAAAGCCACGGCUAACUACGUG
rnacentral:rRNA from 1 species